GUUAUAGGGUCAAGUGACUAAGAGCAUGUGGUGGAUGCCUUGGCAAUGAUAGGCGACGAAGGACGUGGUAGCCUGCGAUAAGCUUCGGGGAGCUGGCAAAUUAGCUUUGAUCCGGAGAUUUCCGAAUGGGGAAACCCACCGAAAGGUAUCUUUAUCUGAAUACAUAGGGUAGAGAGGCGAACCGAGUGAACUGAAACAUCUAAGUAGCUCGAGGAAAAGACAUCAACCGAGAUUCCGAAAGUAGUGGCGAGCGAAAUCGGAGAAGCCUGUUAGUGAUAGCACGACAUUUAGCAAAACAGUCUGGAAAGAUUGGCCAUAGUAGGUGAUAGCCCUGUAUGCGAAAAGUGAUGUGUGGUACUAAGUUAACGACAAGUAGGGCGGGACACGUGUAAUCCUGUCUGAAGAUGGGGGGACCAUCCUCCAAGGCUAAAUACUCGUGAUCGACCGAUAGUGAACCAGUACCGUGAGGGAAAGGCGAAAAGAACCCCGGGAGGGGAGUGAAAUAGAUCCUGAAACCGCAUGCAUACAAACAGUCGGAGCCUCCUUGAGGGGUGACGGCGUACCUUUUGUAUAAUGGGUCAGCGACUUACGUUUAGUGGCAAGCUUAACCGAAUAGGGGAGGCGCAGGGAAACCGAGUCCGAAUAGGGCGAUCAGUCGCUAGGCGUAGACCCGAAACCAGAUGAUCUAUCCAUGGCCAGGAUGAAGGUAGGGUAACACCUGCUGGAGGUCCGAACCGACUACUGUUGCAAAAGUAGCGGAUGAGCUGUGGAUAGGGGUGAAAGGCUAAACAAAUCUGGAAAUAGCUGGUUCUCCCCGAAAACUAUUUAGGUAGUGCCUCAUGUAUGGCUCCAGGGGGUAGAGCACUGUCAUCAUUGCGGGGGUCAUUGCGAUUUACCGCGUGAUAGCAAACUCCGAAUACCUGGAAGUCUGAGCAUGGGAGACAGUCCUCGGGUGCUAACGUCCGAGGUCGAGAGGGAAACAACCCAGACCGCCAGCUAAGGUCCCCAAGCAUGACUAAGUGGGAAACGAAGUGGGAAGGCUAAAACAGUCAGGAGGUUGGCUUAGAAGCAGCCACCCUUUAAAGAAAGCGUAAUAGCUCACUGAUCGAGUCGUCCUGCGCGGAAGAUGUAACGGGGCUAAGUCAUGCACCGAAGCUGCGGAUUUGCGAAAGCAAGUGGUAGGGGAGCGUUCUGUAAGCCUGUGAAGGUGUGUUGUAAAGCAUGCUGGAGGUAUCAGAAGUGCGAAUGCUGACAUGAGUAGCGUUAAACAGAGUGAAAAGCUCUGUCGCCGUAAGCGCAAGGUUUCCUACGCAACGUUAAUCGACGUAGGGUGAGUCGGCCCCUAAGGCGAGGGCGAGAGCCGUAGCUGAUGGGAAGCAGGUUAAUAUUCCUGCACCGAUACUAGAUGCGAUGGGGGGACGGAUCGUGGAAGGUUGUCCGGGUGUUGGAUGUCCCGGUCCCUGUCUUGUAGGUGUUCAGUAGGCAAAUCCGCUGAACGUAUGCCGAGGAGAUGGGGCGAGUGAGCUUGCUCGCGAAGCAACUGGAAGGGGUCCCAGGAAAAGCCUCUAAGCUUCAGUCUAGUACGACCGUACCGCAAACCGACACUGGUGCGCGAGAUGAGUAUUCUCAGGCGCUUGAGAGAACUGCGGAGAAGGAACUCGGCAAAUUGACACCGUAACUUCGGGAGAAGGUGUGCCUUUUUAGCUUGAGUGUGAACAACACAAGGGCGAAGAGGCUGCAAAAAAUAGGUGGCUGCGACUGUUUACCAAAAACACAGCACUCUGCAAACACGAAAGUGGACGUAUAGGGUGUGACGCCUGCCCGGUGCCGGAAGGUUAAGUGAUGGGGUGCAAGCUCUUGAUCGAAGCCCCGGUAAACGGCGGCCGUAACUAUAACGGUCCUAAGGUAGCGAAAUUCCUUGUCGGGUAAGUUCCGACCUGCACGAAU
rnacentral:rRNA from 1 species